ACGAAUGUUCCAAUAAGGAACGGAUAUCAAUCCAGAUUGCAUAAGGAAGUAUCAAAUACAUAAUCUACUUGCUAUUACAAGAAUUCAUUUCACAAUCACGUUAUACAUCACAGUUUUAGUUUACAUUUUUACUUCCAAAUUACAAUCUUACUAUUACAUCAGAGUUUGAUACAUUUUCUUUUCUUGUCUUCUAGACCCCUAAGCUAGACUGUCUCA
rnacentral:lncRNA from 1 species